rnacentral:rRNA from 1 species
GACGAACGCUGGAGGCGUGCUUAACACAUGCAAGUCGAACGAAGUGGCGAACGGGUGAGUAACGCGUAAUCAACCUGCCCUUCAGAGGGGGACAACAGGUGGAAACGACUGCUAAUACCGAAUACUGAAGGAGGGGAUUGAGUCUGAUUAGAUAGUUGGAGGGGUAACGGCCCACCAAGGCAAUGAUCAGUGGCCGGUCUGAGAGGCUUAACGGCCACAUUGGGACUGAGACACGGCCCAUACUCCUACGGGCGGCAGCAGUGGGGAAUCUUCCGCAAUGGACGAAAGUCUGACGGAGCAACGCCGCGUGAGUGAUGACGGCCUUCGGGUUGUAAAGCUCUGUUAAUCGGGACGCGGUACCGGAAUAGAAAGCCACGGCUAACUACGUGCCAGCAGCCGCGGUAAUUC